UACGAAGGGGGCUAGCGUUGCCCGGAAUCAUUGGGCGUAAAGGGCGCGUAGGCGGCGUUUUAAGUCGGGGGUGAAAGCCUGUGGCUCAACCACAGAAUGGCCUUCGAUACUGGGACGCUUGAGUAUGGUAGAGGUUGGUGGAACUGCGAGUGUAGAGGUGAAAUUCGUAGAUAUUCGCAAGAACACCGGUGGCGAAGGCGGCCAACUGGGCCAUUACUGACGCUGAGGCGCGAAAGCGUGGGGAGCAAACAGG
rnacentral:rRNA from 1 species